CUCUCUCUCUCUCUCUCUCUCUCUCUCUCUCUCUCUCUCUCUCUCUCUCUCUCUCUCUCUCUCUCUCUCUCUCUCUCUCUCUCUCUCUCUCUCUCUCUGUCAGCACGGGGCAUCACCAGACUCACGUCAUGUUUACUGAAUUGAAGGCCAAGUUGUAUAAAGUGUAAUAUAUAUAAUCAGAGUGUGCGUGUGUGCGUGUGUGCUCACCCACGCCUGGCCCGCCCACCCCUACACACACACACACACAGAGAGAGAGAGAGAGAGAGAGAGAGAGAGAGAGAGAGAGAGAGAGAGAGAGAGAGAGAGAGAGAGAGAGAGAGAGACAUACAUACUUACUUACAUACAUACAUAUAUACAUACAUACACACAUACAAACAGACAGACAGAGAGAGAGACAGACAGACAGGGGUGGACAGGCACACUCUAAUACCUUACAAUAAAAUGUUUUCCACGAAAACUUAUCGAUGUAUUUGUAAAUAAAAAGAUUUCUAAGGAUU